rnacentral:rRNA from 1 species
UACGGAGGGUGCGAGCGUUGUCCGGAAUCAUUGGGCGUAAAGAGCGUGUAGGCGGCCAUACAGGUCAGCUGUGAAAACUCGAGGCUCAACCUCGAGACGUCGGUUGAAGCCGUAUGGCUAGAGUCCGGAAGAGGAGAGUGGAAUUCCCGGUGUAGCGGUGAAAUGCGCAGAUAUCGGGAAGAACACCCGUGGCGAAGGCGGCUCUCUGGGACGGUACUGACGCUGAGACGCGAAAGCCAGGGGAGCGAACGGG